rnacentral:lncRNA from 1 species
CAUACCAUUCCUCAUUGCACAAAGCUUGUUUGUGCAUGAGAUUUCUCUUGCAAAUACUCCACUUUAUCAUCCACUUGGAUAAGAUUAUGGUUGGUUUUGAUUUAAAUUUAAAAAGAGUUUUGAAUUUGAUUAAAAUCUCAUCCUAAUCCUUCCACCUGUUGGCCACUUUUGAUGAGUUCUUUUUUUGUGACAAAAAGGAGAAGCUUUUGAUGGUUUUUCAUGCCCAAAUG